AUAGGAGAUCAGUACGAGAAUAUGCCUGAGUCUCCAGCGUCCUCACGGCAUUCACUCGGAGAAUAUGUCAAUGUGCUUGAACCAGAUCCCACCAUCCUAGACCUUUGUGUUGAAGGUGGCAAUAGUGACCUGGAAAGUGAAGAUGACACUCCAGACUAUGAGAACAUCAUCUGCCCUAGAGUUUGAGGCUGGAAAGCUAAUUCCGAAGCAGUAUUCUUUAGUGACUCCGAUUGCCUCCAUGUGGGAUGGAUUGCGGAUGAUCUUGUUAAGCUGAGGACACCCCACCCACCCCCAAUCAGUUGCCCGAAUGCUGCCAUAACUUAUUGUCCUUCUUUGCACUUUGGUUGACAAAUCCUGAGAAUUCCCCACAAUCUUUUGGUGUCUCCCCAUCCAAGCUCA